UUACAUUGGGAAAUAAAUAGACCUUUGGUAGAGCACCAAGUAAUGGUUCUAUUUGUUCAUUAAGCAACCAAACUAUUACAGAAUACAAUACUCAAACCAGUCUUGAAAACACAGAACAAACAAGUACUAUUACAGACAAUAACCAAGUUCAAAAUAAAACAUUCAAACAUCAAAAGUAAUUUACGAUAAUGGAAAACACUUUCUAAUUAAAGUAACUGAACAACUUCGGUAAUUCUGCUCUCCAGAAACAACAGCCCCUCCACUUCCAGAAACUGAUUAACCACCCCCAUCUUUCCUUCCAUCUCUCCCUUUCAACCUCCCCCCAUGUAACUAACUAUGGUCCCCACUAAGGCGGUUUCCACUUCCUCCACUUCGAUCACCGGUGCACGUGCCAUUCCACUUGUUUUCCUUCUGCCAUAUUGUAUUACAAUUGGUGGUCUAUCAACCUCAAAGAAACAACUAAAGGAAAAUACAUAAAUGGAAAAUACCAAAAAGGAAAAUAAUAAUAAGCCAUAAACCAUAAUUUACUUUUGAUGAGAAGCUUAUGAGCAAUUUUCUUUGAAAAGAGGUGGUAGAAGGAAAAGUAAAAGGGGUUCUUCGUCAUAUGGGAGACCAUGGGUUGGUUAAUCACUGUGGUGUUGGGGUUGGGGUUGGGGUUGGGGGUAGAACUUGGGAAUUUAAAAUUCUGCAACAAAGCGUCGUUAGCCAAAUGGCUUUAGGGUUUCUCCCUUGAGCACAAUUUCUCUUUGGCACAAAGUUAGUUCUGGUAAGUAUGGUCCUUAUUCUUUCAAUGGUUGUUCAGUGGGGUUAAAGGCUCAUAUCAGAAUUCAUGGAAGGAUAUAUCUAGGAGAUCCCCUUGUUCAUUGUGUGGUAUGAGAGGGGAAGAAUUCUUUUUUUGGGAAGAUCAGUGGGUGGGGAUCUCCAUCUACUCUUUUUGUUUUCUCACGUUUAGGUUGGAUGUUUGGGUUUUGUCUGUCUAUCCACUAGGGAAGCGAUGGAUCUGGUCUAUCUUUUUUCUUUGCUUGAGGAUUGUAACUUUAGGCUUGGGAGAAGAGGUUGGUGGGUGUGGAGUCCCAACUCUUCAAAUGGAUUCUUGUGUAAAUUAUUUCGUAGUUUGAUUAAUCCAUCUCCUGUAGGUGAGUUAGCAUUUUUCGUUCUUUAGAGGAUUAAGAUGUUGUGGAAAGUAUAGAUUUUUACAUGGUCUUGCUAACACAAUAGAUUGACUUAUGAGGAAGUUGCAUUCAUUAGUUGGUUUGUUUUGGUUGUAAUCUCUAUCAAAAGACAGAGUAAGACUUGGUACCAUAGUCUCUAACUCUCUGGAGAUGUGAGUUUGCGAGUUUUGCUCAGGAUUACUUCUGUCAGAUGUGUGGUUUCUUGCUAGCUCGACAUAGGGACAUGAGUGUUCUGACCAGAGAGUUUCUUCUCCUCUGCCCCUUUAUAUGAAGGAUUGCUUUUUAUGGUUGGCAGGAUUGGAAUGACAGGGAGUGUUUAGACAGAUGGAGAGAUAUCCUAAUUGUCUUUGGUCUCUUGUUAGAUUCUAUGUUUUCCUUUAGACGUCGAUUUUGAAGACCUUUUGCAACUAUUUAGACACUAUUUUGUAUUGUUGGAGCAUUUUCUUUAGUGUGCUUCCCUUCUUUUGUGAGCUUGGUUUUCUGUAUGCUCUUUUAUUCUUUUAUUCUUUUCCUUGAUGGAAGGUUUCAUUUUUCUCACUCUGUUGGCUUCUAAAUUCUCUUGUAGCCCCUCAGUUAGACCUUCAUGGUAUUUAAUGCUACUUUGCUAAUGAACUGAAGAGAAGUCCUAUCUGUAAGCCAAAUGCAUGUUAUUUAUGUCAACACUUUGUGAGGCUCCCAAUUAUUCACACAUAUGUGAGGAAGGGUAAAAAGGGGAAUUCGUCUAUUAAAGAGAAAGAAUGAUUGGUGAAAGAGAUCGUGAGAGUGGGCCCCACUGGGAAAAGAAUUUAGGAAGCCUAUAAAUAGUGAUUGAUAGAGAGAGGAUAGCUAGGUUUUAUUUUGUCAUCUUUAUGAUGGGUAGGCUGCUGUAGCCGUAAAAGGGUUACCAUUUGUGUAAAGGGGGCUGGUAUGUUCUUUUGCUGUUUUCUUUCCUUGUUAUAUUUCUUUAUUGUUACUUGUAGACAUCUUUUGGCUUAUACAUAAAUAAAGAAUAUCAAAGUAUUGCCUUUGUUUAGCCAUUGUUGGGUAUUUUAGUUGGUAGCCUGACACACUUUUAAUUGAAUAAAAAUUUAAGUAGCCUUACUGGAUCAUCCUAGAAUCUUAGUAAUCCAAACUUGGAAUAAGCAACUUUAUAUUGUAGUUGAUGGCCAUCAUGGGCUGAGUAACCUUGUGAACUAUUGAAACUUUUAUGUUUUGCUUUUUUUUUUCUUUUUUUUGAUAAACAUGAGUUUUGAUGCAGAGUGAUACAUCAGUGGAUGACUUCCUACAGUCCUUGGGUCUCGAAAAAUAUUCCAUUACGUUUCAAGCAGAGGAAGUAAGAAAAUCUAUCUUUCCAAGCAUAAAAUCUGUUUUUGAAGCUUUCAGCUGAACUUCUCUAAUUGGUUUUCGUUCAACAUGGUUCAUAUAGGUUGAUAUGACAGCGCUUGUACACAUGGGAGAUGAUGAUCUCAAGGCUUUAGGAGUACCAAUGGUAAACUCAAGGCCUUGAUUUGAUUUCAUGUUUUUUACUUUUUAGUUAUGUGCUUGUAUGUUUUUAGCCGGUUUGAACUCACUAUUUAGCAUUGUAUGUUUUUACAUGGGCAGUUGUGUAAUGUGUUUUUACAUGAGUAGCUGGUUUGAAUUCACUAUUUAGUGUUUAGCUAUUAAUAUUUGAAGAACUUUUAAAUGUUUUCUUCACUCUUGUAUUAGAUGUUGAAGCUAUGUGGUAUUUUUGUUUCUUAAGCAGCUAGUUCCCUAAAUUCUAAUAUUUCGACCUAUCACAACUAGGACUAAUAGCAGGAUGUGGCUGCUCAGAUAAGAAUGUAUUUUGUCAGUUAUUAUUCAAUCAAAAGAAAUAGUUAACAUGUAGACAACGCGUGCUAGCUCUCUCACCUUACUAAUUCUACUUCAAUGCUGAGGUGUGAGGUGCAGGUUAUUUUAUAGAGUUACUGAAAGAGCCAGGUGGAUCUGAUCUGGCUUAUACACAAAUAGGCAACUAACAUUGCUUCUAGAAGUUUCAAACUUUGUCGAAAUCAAAACUUCCGUCCAAACUGUGGAGAAGAUUUGUAGAAGAAUCCUUUUAGUUUUCUGUACAGUUUCUUGUCUUGGAAAAGGUAGUUCCCUGUUAUCAGUUGGAUGAUGUUAGGAUACUAACAAUAAUUUAGACUGAAAGGACUGUAUAAAUGGCUUAAACAGAGGCGGUACUCUGGUUUACUUUAUUUAUAUAUAAAGCCAAAUGAUCCAGAUUCACAAGAUGAAAAGAAAUAACAAGAAACAACAAGGAAAAAUGCAGAAAAGAUCAUACCAGCCUCUUGGUUUUAAGAGACCCUGGUGGCUGCUGUAGCCCUACCUCCUAAAAGUUAAAAAUACCCUAGCUACUCCAACCUAAUAAUCCUAUUUAUAGACUCACAUAUUCCUCAGCCCAGUGGGCCCUACCACUCAGAACGUCCUUCCAAUCAUUUCUCCAUAAUAAUUCCCUGUGCAGUUACUUUUCUACCCUUCCUCCUAUAAGUAUGGAUAAUUGGGGGUCUUACAGAUGACUGCCAGUUUCUUGUGUUCGAUCAAAGGAGAGAGAUGGUUGGCUUCUUCCUGACAGGGACGGGGAUGACAGCCAGCUUUCAGAUCCUCCUGAUAGCAAGAUAUUGCAGGAAAAUGAAACAUCAUAUGCCAAAUACAUUAUAAUUUACCCUUCAUGUGAGAAUAACUUAAAAAUAUAAGAAUAUUGUCAGCAGUGUUCAUGAGUAUAGCAGAUCCAAUAAAGUAGCAUUUCUUGUGUCGUGUUUGUUAACUCAUUUAUUCUUUUAAUGCUUGGGUCUUGAAUCAAGAACCUUGUACUGAAGUUAUCAGCUCUGAUUUCAGGGGCCAAGAAAGAAGAUCCUUU
rnacentral:lncRNA from 1 species